GUAGGAAACACAAUUUAAUCAAUCAAUAUGAAUAGCUACGUGAUUGUGUUCCUGGUGAUUUGUGUUGUUAGCAUUAAAGGACAAACUGUUGUUGAUAAAAUAGAGAGUAUCGAAGGAAAAUUCGAUUUUAACCCCAAUGUGAUUCCAGCAAGGAUGUAUGAUUACUCAACGAAUACAAUUGCCUAUAAAGACAAAUCAACCAACAAAUGCUACAUCCAAAGAAUGCAGAAAACCACCCCAGCCCCGCUGUACAUCUCCGAUUCAAAAAGCGACACGCAAGAAGUAGAAAUACUAGCAGGACGAGGAAUUGCGCGCUUUUGCCGUGGACUAGAAGUCUACAAACUGCUCGUGCAGAUAAAAUAACUUCCGUGUACAAAAAUCAGUCCUUUUACUUUUUCUUUAGCUAUACAUCAUAGUUAAUUCGUGGUUAAAUAAAUAGUACGUACCUCACAAGUGGUACCGCAAAUCACAAGUGGAAUCCUAAAAGUUGCUAACUUCUUCGUCGCUCAUCGUUGUCGAGGAGACGUUCAGCAGAUUGCCGGCACUGCUAGAGUUACGUAAUCUAAACAAUCAGAAUCCACCGCAAUUGCGAGUUACAAUCAAUCCGAAAUAAAGAAAAGGAUGAUAGUAAAACUUCAAGCGCACCAAAUUAACCGCAACCAAAGUUACUUACGCAGUCGUCAUCGAGCGUCGCCAUUUCCUCACCGCCAUCUUCGUUAUUUAGUAUUUCAUCGCUAAGUCAGUGAAUGAAAAGAAAGUUAUGAGAUAAGCGUCUACCCAAAACCACCUCACAAUUAUGAUUAUGUUAUUCGAUAGCAGAAAAGCAAUAAAAUUCAACCGUGUGUUUGCUAA